rnacentral:lncRNA from 1 species
AGCAAAUUCUCCAUUUUACCAUAAUAAUGGUUCCUUCAGAGCUAAAGAGAUCACUACCUUCUGAGGUCAUUUAUGCAUUCAUUUAACAUAUGUUGAGUAAUCACUAGGUUCCAGGAAUUGAUAUAAUGACACAGAGAGAAGAGAUUAUAAACAAGGAAGAAUGGAAGCAGGGAGACCAUUUGGGAGUCUAUAAUAAGUGCCCCAGUAGAAGAUGAGGGGGUGAGGACUAUGACAAAUGUACUCUGACUAUAACCACCUUAAAGGAAGAGCUGACAAGAAAAGGAUUUACUAAUGGAGUGGAUGUGAUGUAAAAAUAAAAGAGAGAAGUCAAGGAAAUCCCCAGGCUUUGGCAUGAUUAAUGAGGUAAUUUGUGGUGCCAUUUUCUAGAGAUUGGACGGACUGGGGACGGGGUUGAAGUGGAACACUCACUGCCCCAGCUGACUGGCUUCAGCUGAACAGGGUCACACUCCCUUCUUUGUCCAAUGACUUACUGAUACAGGGAUAAAGCCUGACCCCAUUGGCCGAAUCGGAUUCAACCCUGAAUAGUCACACCAGCUCUGGGGCUCCCUCUGGGAUAAACUGAGGCCUUUGUCCUGAAGGCAGCAGCACUUCUCCCUUUGCCUAAUCCUGCUGCCAUCAUUCUCUUGUAGGAGUGGAUCCUGAAGGCAAGCCCCCCAAACUUCUGCCUGUAGGUCUCCAUCUCUGAAGCUGCUUUUUGGGACCAACCUACAACAGGGAGCUAGAGUUCAAGGAUAAAGAGGUCUCCCUCACAUCAUCUCCCACAUGCCUGCAAAAGAUAUGAAGGCAUUCCUGGGAAGCCCCCAGCUAACAGGUUCAUAUGUGCGGAUCACUGGAUAAUGGGAUCCACAGCCACAGAAGCACAGUGUCAACACAGUCUGCUACUGCCUAGCGCUCAGUGGUCUCCUUGGAAACCAACGAGGCUGCAGGGAAUCUGGGCGGCAGGAGCUGGGCUGCCAAAGGGAUUUGCAACAGAAUUGGCCUCUGGGGGAAAGUUUUCAAUUAGUUCAUUAUUCCAACCUUUUACAAAGCAGAAUCCGAAAAUUCACAGGCCGAAUUGUAUCAGCUCAUCUGUGUACUGAGGAAG